ACGGCCUUCGGGUUGUAAACCUCUUUCAGUAGGGACGAAGCGAGAGUGACGGUACCUGCAGAAGAAGCGCCGGCCAACUACGUGCCAGCAGCCGCGGUAAUACGUAGGGCGCAAGCGUUGUCCGGAAUUAUUGGGCGUAAAGAGCUCGUAGGCGGUUUGUCACGUCGGCUGUGAAAUCCCGAGGCUUAACCUCGGGCUUGCAGUCGAUACGGGCAGACUAGAGUGGAGCAGGGGAGACUGGAAUUCCUGGUGUAGCGGUGAAAUGCGCAGAUAUCAGGAGGAACACCGAUGGCGAAGGCAGGUCUCUGGGCUUUAACUGACGCUGAGUAGCGAAAGCGUGGGUAGCAAACAGGAUUAGAUACCCUGGUAGUCCGCGCCGUAAACGGUGGGCGCUAGGUGUGGGGACCAUUCCACGGUCUCCGUGCCGCAGCUAACGCAUUAAGCGCCCCGCCUGGGGAGUACGGCCGCAAGGCUAAAACUCAAAGGAAUUGACGGAAUCACUA
rnacentral:rRNA from 1 species